rnacentral:tRNA from 1 species
GGAUUGUGGCUCAGUGGUGGAGUGCUCGCCUCGCAUGGGCGGGCCCUGGGUUUGAUCCUCAGCACCA